UGCAAUAUAAAAAUGAAAAUGUAGUUUUGAUACUAAUUAUUGCAAAAACUGAAUCUUUCAAUAAUUAUGAGUGUUUUGUAUUUUUCACUUGCUACAAGUUGGUUUGUGUUGAUUUAUGAUUAACAACAAAAAAUGCAUUACUUCAAUAAAUGCUAGUUUUUUACAUAUUAGUUAUAUAUGAAAUGGUUCAUCUUAAUCUAAUUCCCUGCAGGAUGCCUGUUGAAAAGAAAAACUGAAGAAACUUUAAAACUAGGUGAUGCCAACUAAAGAAGUUGAAACACUGUUAUUCAUGGUGUCGAGGCUUCAGCUCUCCAUGUAAAAGUGGAUGAAAGCACUAAAGAAAACGAUAACGAUAAACUUUAAAGCAGAAUUUUGUCAUGCGAUUAUUGUGGCGAUAUGAGAGAACUACUGUGGCAGAAUAUCGUCGAACAGUUUUGCAUCAAAUCCUUGUAUAAUAUUAG
rnacentral:lncRNA from 1 species